UGUAAAACGAAACACACCAGAACCAGU
rnacentral:piRNA from 1 species